UACGUAGGGGGCGAGCGUUGUCCGGAUUUAUUGGGCGUAAAGAGCUCGUAGGCGGUUCAGUAAGUCGGGUGUGAAAACUCUAGGCUCAACCUGGAGACUGCAUUCGAUACUGCUGUGACUAGAGUCUGGUAGGGGAUCACGGAAUUCCUGGUGUAGCGGUGAAAUGCGCAGAUAUCAGGAGGAACACCGGUGGCGAAGGCGGUGAUCUGGGCCAGUACUGACGCUGAGGAGCGAAAGCGUGGGGAGCAAACAGG
rnacentral:rRNA from 1 species